UAAAAGGAGGAUUGUGAGUUGAUUUAUGUCGGGAAGUGGCAAUGCAUGAUGGAGAAGAAGAUAGAGUCACCUGAGAAGAAUAGAAUUUGAGAAUUUGUUGAUUUGCCAAAGAGAAAGAAUGCAAUUGGAUGUCCGUAGGUUUUUAAGGUGAAGUAGUAUGUAAAUAGGAAUGUAAAGAGAUUCAAGGCGAGGUGAGUGGGGAAGGGAUGUGCUUACAAGCUAGG
rnacentral:lncRNA from 1 species